AUGAUAUUUAAGCUGCCUACUGCUUACUAUACUGCAUGCCACUAUCUCUGUAAGCCUUUUUUGGCACCCAACCCCUCCCAACUCGUCCUUCUUUACACUAUUGUGUUUUUGUGUUGUGUUUCAGACACAACAGGUACUUCCCUAGAGCAGUCCAUUGAGGGACGUUACCUUAACGUGAGGCAGCGGAAGCAGGCUCUUUACCGCCAAAAUGAUAGUGGCAAGUUCCGUCACCGCCUGCACAGGAAAAUUGCUGAGAGCAAGAGACUGCUAUUGAAAGACAUAGAGACCUAUAACAGUCAUGAGCCUGCCAUGCCAACUGAUGUUAAUGAAGUGGAGCAGUCGCUAUCAGGAGACAACCUGUCCCCAACAUGGCCGUGGGAGAUUCAUACUUCAUGGCAGCGCUAAGUGGAGUUUCCUGAGGCCUUUAUUUAUUUUGUAAAGACUCAAGUCAAAAUUGUUAUUUAUACAUUUUCUUUACCUCUGUUGUAGCACAAAUAGAAGACAAGUUAAGAUUUUUUUUACAAAGCCAUGCUGAAAAUGAGACUGGAGUUUUUUGGAUCCUCACAUAAGUCCCUGUUUUGUCCAGAUGUUGCAGGAUGAAGUGCAAUCCCAUGUUGAUUGCAUCAUCCACAGACCUGUUUGCUCGGUAAGCAAACUGCAGGGGGUCCAGUAAGGGUCCAGUGAUGUCCUUCAGAUAAGCCAGAACCAGUUUUUCAAACGAAAGCAUGACGACAGAUGUUAGAGCCACAGGUCUGUAGUCGUUAAGUCCUGUAAUCUUGGGUUUCUUUGGAAUGGGGAUGAUGGUGGAGCGUUUGAAGCAGGAAGGCACUUCACACAACUCCAGAGAUCUGUUGAAGAUCUGUGAAAAGAUGGGGGCCAGCUGGUCAGCACAGGUUUUCAAACAGGCUGGUGUAACGCCAUCUGGGCCUGGUGCUUUUCUUCUUUUGUUCUUCCUGAAGACCUGGCGCACAUCAUCUUCACAGAUUUGAAGAGCAGGAGGUGUGGAGAGGGGGAUUGCAGGAGGUGUUAACGGUUGUGUAGAGAGAUGGUCAGAAUGGGUGUUGGGGGUUUCAAAUCUACAAUAAAACUCAUUCAGGUCGUUAACA
ensembl:lncRNA